GACGAACGCUGGCGGCGUGCCUAAUACAUGCAAGUAGAACGCUGAAGAGAGGAGCUUACUCUUCUUGGAUGAGUUGCGAACGGGUGAGUAACGCGUAGGUAACCUGCCUUGUAGCGGGGGAUAACUAUUGGAAACGAUAGCUAAUACCGCAUAACAAUGGAUGACACAUGUCAUUUAUUUGAAAGGGGCAAUUGCUCCACUACAAGAUGGACCUGCGUUGUAUUAGCUAGUAGGUGAGGUAAUGGCUCACCUAGGCGACGAUACAUAGCCGACCUGAGAGGGUGAUCGGCCACACUGGGACUGAGACACGGCCCAGACUCCUACGGGAGGCAGCAGUAGGGAAUCUUCGGCAAUGGGGGCAACCCUGACCGAUCAACGCCGCGUGAGUGAAGAAGGUUGUCGGAUCGUAAAGCUCUGUUGUAAGUCAAGAACGGGUGUGAGAGUGGAAAGUUCACACUGUGACGGUAGCUUACCAGAAAGGGACGGCUAACUACGUG
rnacentral:rRNA from 1 species